rnacentral:rRNA from 1 species
GACGAACGCUGGCGGCGUGCCUAACACAUGCAAGUCGAACGGGGCUCUUUGGAUCGAGACUUCGGUCAAGUGAAUCUGAGCUUAGUGGCGGACGGGUGAGUAACGCGUGAGCAACCUGCCUUUCAGAGGGGGACAACAGUUGGAAACGACUGCUAAUACCGCAUAACGUGUCGAGGAGGCAUCUCCUUGACACCAAAGAUUUAUCGCUGAAAGAUGGGCUCGCGUCUGAUUAGCUAGAUGGCGGGGUAACGGCCCACCAUGGCGACGAUCAGUAGCCGGUCUGAGAGGAUGAACGGCCACAUUGGGACUGAGAUACGGCCCAG